UGGCAAAUGAAGAAUU
rnacentral:sRNA from 1 species